CCUAGGGAAGCCACAGCUCCGCAGUAAUGACUCCGAUUCAUUUACUUUGUUCUGACAUGUCUUCUGAAGUGAUCUUCUUAAGACUAGUUGACUUGUAUAUUACAUUUUAUAUCCCUGUAUGUCCAUGGUUAUGUAAAACUCUGGUGAAGAAAGGCCGUGAAUGCAAACCAUUUAAGUAUCUCUGCUCUAAAUAUUAGUCUUCCUUGGAGCCUCUUCUAGUUCUUCUUUCUUCUCUACACACCUUCUUUGGGCACCCUGUAUGUUCCUGACUCUGUGAUGAUUUGAUGGAAUGCAGUGAAGGUUGACAUCUGGAAAUAACAGUCACAUCUUCAAUGGAUCUACUUUCUAAUCUUUGAAAAUACUUUAGAGCCUCCAAUUAAAGUGCAAACUUCCCAGCUAAGUGAGGGUGAAGAUCUUGUCAUUUCUAACACUUGUAUAAGAAGAGAGGUGAUUCAAAGCCAACACUCAGGAGGGGAAAGG